CCGGUGCAUGUUUUGUGUAUAUCAGUCAUUCUUUGGUGUACAUUCAAGAAUGACUGGAAUGCUUUUUACUCUUGCAGCUUAUUUUGGCUCAGAAUAACCUUUUCUGAUAUGAUCACAUAUCUGUGGCUUAAAGAGAAACAGAAGGCUCAGAACCAUAUCCCAUAUCUCUGGCUGACUGAAGAGACCUCCCAUGCGGGCCCCCAGCAACCCAGCCAUCAGGAGAGGGUGUGUCCGCAGCUGUACAGGAUACGAGGCUGUAGUGUCAAUAUGACGCGUCAGAGAAGCCUGCCAGGAAACCUGCCCGCUUCCUUUCGCCUGCCGUUCGCACCCACUGCCGCUGAAAGGCGGCGGUUCCGCUGUGUGUCUGUGAAGAGGAGGGGCGUGACUGGAUGUGCACGUGCAUGCGCGUCGGCCAUGGUUCAGUAGCGGGGAGCAGGGCUUGAGCGGAGCGCUGAGAGAGGACUGUGAGGCGG
ensembl:lncRNA